GACCAGGCCAGUACGUGAGCGCAGGCCCAAGAUCGAAAAGGGAAAGUCCUGAACGCUCUCUUCCCCCUGUCUUUUCGGCGGGGCUUUGAGAGUUUGCGGGGUGUCCUGAGUGUUUGGGCCACAGGGAUUCUCGCGUCCGGGAGAUUCCAGGAGCUGUAGGGGGUGACAUGCGAGUAAGAGGAGCGCCUCAGGAGGUUUUCUUGGACUUCAUCCCAGAUCCGGAGCUGGAGCUGGUCCUGGGAUACGGAGCGUGCCUGUCCUGGUCAACUGAAGUGUCUCCAAAAGGGUUCCUGAAAACAGUACAGAGUUGCCCAGCCAGGCACACAGGCCGGGGCAGGAAACUGGCCUUGGAUCCACCUCCACUCAGGAUGGGGUGGAGGCAAACAGAAUUGUGCGUCAUCCUUCACAAAGAAGGUUCUCUCAGAGAUCUGGAUUUCCUCAAGGAGCCCUCAGAGCAAUAAAAUAAUAUGUCCUUCGGACUGAGAACACUCACUGUGUCUGCAAGGCAGAGGGUGGGCCGCACGAGGUCUGCAUCUCCGAGGCUCCAGGCAGAGGUCUGGCCCUACUUGUUUUUCGGAGUGUUCUCUGGGAGGCACAUACCUUUCCCAGUUUUCUGGUGUGACUGGCAAUAGAACAUCGUGUUGUCUUUCCUGAGGAUCAGACAGACAUUCGCUUGUGAGGAUAGGAUCCUGCUCCCUUCGUAGUAAGCAGAAAAUCCAUUCAUAUUGCACUAUGGAGGCCCAGUCUUUUUCUAUUUUGGUGAAAUGUCCUGAAUCUCACCUCUGAGAAUAUCUUUCUUGCUGCGUCCUGGCGUAGCUUCCUGAAACUGUCGGAAGAGGUGUUUUAUUCCUUAUUGAUAAUCUGGAAAUAAAACACUGAAUUAAAAAGAAAUAGACUCUUUGUGGUCAUCUGUAUUUUCCAAGGUUUCAUUUUUUUAACAAUGAAUAUGUAUUAUUUUGCAAUCAGAUGCAAGUUGUGCUUUGUUUGUAACUGACAACAGAGGGCUAUCAGCCCAGCUACCACUGAAAGCAGAGUGGUAUUUCAGAAUUUGUUCUCUCUCCCCACCACCUUUGGGGCGUCUGCUUCAUGUAAUGCCCACCCAGAGGUUCCCCUAAUGAGGGAUGCUCAUUCAAGGUCUUCCACACAAGGAACUAAGCACUUUCACAUUUUUCAAAGUCCGUUUCAUUGUUGAAAUAUUAGAAUAGAAAGCUGGAUAUAUUCGCACUGUAAUUUUAGAAGCAACUUUGGAAGUAGAAACAUUUUUUGGGUCUCAUCUUAUAGACCUGUGUCCAUCCAGGACCUUCCUAUCUUUCUUUUAAAAGAAAAGAUGUCAGGUUUGUCAAAGAUCAGAUGCUUAUAGAUGCGUGAUGUUAUUUCUGAGGGCUCUGUUCUGUUCCAUUGGUCUAUAUGUCUGUUUUGGUACCAGUACCAUACCUACCAGUUACUGUAGGCUUGUAGUAUAGUUUGAUGUAGUAUAGUCAGGUAGCAUGAUACCUCCAGCUUUGCUCUUUUUGCUUAGGAUUAUCUUGGCUAUAAGGGCUCUUUUGUUGUUGUUGUUCUGUAUCAGCGGAAAGGGGAGGAAGAGCAUUAGGACAAAUACCUAAUGCAUGCAGGGGUUAAAACCUAGAUCACGGGUUGACAGGUGCAGCAAACCACCAUGGCACAUGUAUACCUAUGUAACAAACCUGCACAUUCAGUACAUGUAUCCCAGAACUUAAAAUUAAAAACUUUUUUAAAAAAGAAAAAAUGUAAAAUUGUUGAUACAAUGAUCUGAUGUUCAGGUCAUCAUUUGGUCCAUUUUGAUUAUUUUGAAUGAUGACAAAGACCAGUUAUUAAGACAUUUUUUCAUCAA
rnacentral:lncRNA from 10 species